GGGCCUGGCAGGGCUACAACAUGCAUUCUAGGUUGAGCACUAGCCCAGCCCGCCUGUUUGGCCUGCUGGCGCCGGUAAACACGAUGGGUUGUGCGUAUGCUUGACGGCACGCUGGGCCUAUAGGGCCCAACCUCACAAUAGGCCGCAUUGGGGCUUGCCCGUGAGAGCCGCUUGCGCAUUGGGCCACGCUUGGGCCCAGCCCGCAAUCUGGCCCGCGUGCAGCCUCUUAAUGCGUUUAAUAAAAAAAACAAAGAAGCUUUGUUUGGUGUGGGAUACGAACACACAAACCUUU
rnacentral:lncRNA from 1 species